GACGAACGCUGGCGGCGUGCCUAAUACAUGCAAGUUGAGCGCUGAAGGUUGGUACUUGUACCAACUGGAUGAGCAGCGAACGGGUGAGUAACGCGUGGGGAAUCUGCCUUUGAGCGGGGGACAACAUUUGGAAACGAAUGCUAAUACCGCAUAAAAACUUUAAACACAAGUUUUAAGUUUGAAAGAUGCAAUUGCAUCACUCAAAGAUGAUCCCGCGUUGUAUUAGCUAGUUGGUGAGGUAAAGGCUCACCAAGGCGAUGAUACAUAGCCGACCUGAGAGGGGGAGCGGCCACACGGGAACGGAGACAGGGUCCAGAAGCCAACGGGAGGCAGCAGUAGGGAGUCGUACGGAAUGGGCGAAAGACUGACGGAGCAACGACGGGUGAGUGAUGAAGGUCUUCGGAGCGUAAAACUCUGUUAUUAGGGAAGAACAUAUGGGGAAGUAACUGUGCACAUCUUGACGGUACCUAAUCAGAAAGAGACGGCUAACUACG
rnacentral:rRNA from 1 species